rnacentral:rRNA from 1 species
CGAUGUGAUUUUGCGUAAACAACCAGGAUGUUGGCUUAGAAGCAGCCAUUCAUUUAAAGAGUGCGUAAUAGCUCACUGGUCGAGUGGAGUUGCGCGGAAAAUUACCGGGGCUAAACUAUACACCGAAAUUGCGGAUUCAUGAGUAAUCAUGAGUGGUAGAGGAGCAUUCUAUAGUAGGACGAAGGUAGAUCGAAAGGACUGCUGGACGAGAUAGAAGAGAGAAUGCCGGAAUAAGUAGCGAAAGCAUGGUGAGAAUCCAUGCCAUCGAAAGUCUAAGGUUUCCUGGGGAAGGUUCGUCCGCCCAGGGUAAGUCGGGACCUAAGGAGAGGCCGAAAGGCGUAUCUGAUGGACAGCAGGUAGAAAUUCCUGCACCACCGAUAUACUUAAAAAAUGCAAGGGACACAGUAGUGGAAGGAAAGCGAGGAAGAGGAAAGACUCGUAUCGAAAGAUAUAGUGAAAAAAUAAGUAACGAAUUUCCAAGAAGCACACUGGCGAGAAAAGCUUGUAGGAAUUGUAUAAAGGUGCCCGUACCGCAAACCGACACAGGUAGAUGAGGAGAGGAUCCUAAGAUGAGCGAGAGAAGCAUUGUUAAGGAACUCGGCAAACUGACCCCGUAACUUCGGAAUAAGGGGUGCCGGAGUAGAAUCCAGUCGCAGAGAAUAGUCCCAAGCAACUGUUUAACAAAAACACAGGUUUCUGCUAAAUCGAAAGAUGAAGUAUAGGAGCUGACGCCUGCCCAGUGCUGGAAGGUUAAGGGGAAGAGUUAGAUGUAAGUCGAAGCUUAGAACCAAAGCCCCAGUGAACGGCGGCCGUAACUAUAACGGUCCUAAGGUAGCGAAAUUCCUUGUCAGGUAAGUUCUGACCCGCACGAAAGGCGUAAUGAUUUGGGCGCUGUCUCGACAAUGUACUCGGCGAAAUUGUAGUACUAGUGAAGAUGCUAGUUACCUGCGACAAGACAGAAAGACCCCAUGGAGCUUUACUGUAGCUUGAUACUGGGUUUCGAUAAUUUAUGUACAGGAUAGGUGGGAGGCGAAGAAGCAAUUGCGCCAGCAGUUGUGGAGUCAUCCUUGGGAUACCACCCUUAAGUUAUUGAAAUUCUAACCUGUAGUCCUGAGCGGGCUAGGGGACAAUGUCAGGCGGGCAGUUUGACUGGGGCGGUCGCCUCCAAAAGAGUAACGGAGGCGCGCAAAGGUUUCCUCAGCGCGGACAGAAAUCGCGCGAAAGAGUGCAAAGGCAGAAGGAAGCUUAACUGAGAGACAGACAUGUCGACCAGAUACGAAAGUAGGUCUUAGUGAUCCGGUGGUUGUAAGUGGAAAUGCCAUCGCUCAACGGACAAAAGUUACCCUGGGGAUAACAGGCUUAUCUCCCCCAAGAGUUCACAUCGACGGGGAGGUUUGGCACCUCGAUGUCGGCUCAUCACAUCCUGGAGCGGAAGUACGUUCCAAGGGUUGGGCUGUUCGCCCAUUAAAGUGGUACGCGAGCUGGGUUCAGAACGUCGUGAGACAGUUCGGUCCUUAUCUGUCGCAGGCGAAGGAUAUUUGAAGGGAGUUGACCUUAGUACGAGAGGACCAGGUUGAAGGAACCGAUGGUGCACCAGUUGUACUACCAAGUGCAUAGCUGGAUAGCUAAGUUCGGAAGGGAUAAACGCUGAAAGCAUCUAAGUGUGAAGCCCACCCUAAGAUAAGAUAUCCCAUAUCGAAAGAUAGU